rnacentral:rRNA from 1 species
GAUGAACGCUGGCGGCGUGCCUAAUACAUGCAAGUCGAGCGAACGGACGAGAAGCUUGCUCUUCUGAUGUUAGCGGCGGACGGGUGAGUAACACGUGGAUAACCUACCUAUAAGACUGGGAUAACUUCGGGAAACCGGAGCUAAUACCGGAUAAUAUUUUGAACCGCAUGGUUCAAUAGUGAAAGACGGUUUUGCUGUCACUUAUAGAUGGAUCCGCGCUGCAUUAGCUAGUUGGUAAGGUAACGGCUUACCAAGGCAACGAUGCAUAGCCGACCUGAGAGGGUGAUCGGCCACACUGGAACUGAGACACGGUCCAGACUCCUACGGGAGGCAGCAGUAGGGAAUCUUCCGCAAUGGGCGAAAGCCUGACGGAGCAACGCCGCGUGAGUGAUGAAGGUCUUCGGAUCGUAAAACUCUGUUAUUAGGGAAGAACAUAUGUGUAAGUAACUGUGCACAUCUUGACGGUACCUAAUCAGAAAGCCACGGCUAACUACGUG